UACGAAGGGGGCUAGCGUUGCUCGGAAUCACUGGGCGUAAAGCGCACGUAGGCGGCUUUUUAAGUCAGGGGUGAAAUCCUGGAGCUCAACUCCAGAACUGCCUUUGAUACUGAGAAGCUUGAGUCCGGGAGAGGUGAGUGGAACUGCGAGUGUAGAGGUGAAAUUCGUAGAUAUUCGCAAGAACACCAGUGGCGAAGGCGGCUCACUGGCCCGGUACUGACGCUGAGGCGCGAAAGCUAGGGGAGCAAACAGG
rnacentral:rRNA from 1 species